rnacentral:rRNA from 1 species
AUGGAUCUAUCUUUUUGGAGGUCAGUGCUGCCAUGGAUUUGGGCCUCAUUCCAUACCCUUCCUGGUGGUAAAAAUUCCACAGUUAGAAUGGAACUUCAAGAAUGUCAUUCAGCAUUGGAGGAGGCAAAGGCUGAUAUAGUUGGUCUGUGGGUGCUGAAUUUUCUUAUAAACAAGGGGUUGCUUCCUAAGAGCCUAUCAAAAUCUAUGUAUGUCUAUUUCCUGGCUGGAUGCUUUCGGUCAAUUAAUUGCUUCUUAUUGUACCACUCUAUUUUGGCUGCUCUUUUUUGA